rnacentral:rRNA from 1 species
GAUGAACGCUGGCGGCGUGCUUAACACAUGCAAGUCGAACGAAGAUAUUAGAAAUGAGAGCUUCGGCAGGAAUUUUUUCUAUCUUAGUGGCGGACGGGUGAGUAACGUGUGGGCAACCUGCCCUGCACUGGGGAAUAAUCAUUGGAAACGAUGACUAAUACCGCAUACGGUUCCUGGGAGGCAUCUUCUGGGAAAGAAAGGAUUUAUUCGGUGCAGGAUGGGCCCGCAUCUGAUUAGCUAGUUGGUGGGAUAACAGCCCACCAAGGCGACGAUCAGUAGCCGACCUGAGAGGGUGACCGGCCACAUUGGGACUGAGACACGGCCCAA